rnacentral:rRNA from 1 species
AGAAGUCUGACGGAGCAACGCCGCGUGAGUGAUGAAGGUUUUCGGAUCGUAAAACUCUGUUGUUAGGGAAGAACAAGUACCGUUCGAAUAGGGCGGUACCUUGACGGUACCUAACCAGAAAGCCACGGCUAACUACGUGCCAGCAGCCGCGGUAAUACGUAGGUGGCAAGCGUUGUCCGGAAUUAUUGGGCGUAAAGCGCGCGCAGGCGGUUUCUUAAGUCUGAUGUGAAAGCCCCCGGCUCAACCGGGGAGGGUCAUUGGAAACUGGGGAACUUGAGUGCAGAAGAGGAGAGUGGAAUUCCACGUGUAGCGGUGAAAUGCGUAGAGAUGUGGAGGAACACCAGUGGCGAAGGCGACUCUCUGGUCUGUAACUGACGCUGAGGCGCGAAAGCGUGGGGAGCGAACAGGAUUAGAUACCCUGGUAGUCCACGCCGUAAACGAUGAGUGCUAAGUGUUAGAGGGUUUCCGCCCUUUAGUGCUGCAGCAAACGCAUUAAGCACUCCGCCUGGGGAGUACGGUCGCAAGACUGAAACUCAAAGGAAUUGACGGGGGCCCGCACAAGCGGUGGAGCAUGUGGUUUAAUUCGAAGCAACGCGAAGAACCUUACCAGGUCUUGACAUCCUCUGACAACCCUAGAGAUAGGGCUUCCCCUUCGGGGGCAGAGUGACAGGUGGUGCAUGGUUGUCGUCAGCUCGUGUCGUGAGAUGUUGGGUUAAGUCCCGCAACGAGCGCAACCCUUGAUCUUAGUUGCCAGCAUUCAGUUGGGCACUCUAAGGUGACUGCCGGUGACAAACCGGAGGAAGGUGGGGAUGACGUCAAAUCAUCAUGCCCCUUAUGACCUGGGCUACACACGUGCUACAAUGGGCAGAACAAAGGGCA